rnacentral:rRNA from 1 species
AGCGAACGCUGGCGGCAGGCCUAACACAUGCAAGUCGAACGAACCUUUCGGGGUUAGUGGCGGACGGGUGAGUAACACGUGGGAACGUGCCUUUAGGUUCGGAAUAACUCAGGGAAACUUGUGCUAAUACCGAAUGUGCCCUUCGGGGGAAAGAUUUAUCGCCUUUAGAGCGGCCCGCGUCUGAUUAGCUAGUUGGUUGAGGUAAUGGCUCACCAAGGCGACGAUCAGUAGCUGGUCUGAGAGGAUGAUCAGCCACAUUUGGACUGAGACACGGCCCAAACUCCUACGGGAAGCAGCAGUGGGGAAUCUUGCGCAAUGGGCGAAAGCCUGACGCAGCCAUGCCGCGUGAAUGAUGAAGGUCUUAGGAUUGUAAAAUUCUUUCACCGGGGACGAUAAUGACGGUACCCGGAGAAGAAGCCCCGGCUAACUUCGUG